CAAAACAAAUAUUUUCUUUGCUUUAUGAAUGAAUAUAACUUGUUGUUUCCUUGUUAUUUAAAUGGCUGUGUUUCUUACUGCCUUCUGAAAAAACUGCAAUAUAAGGCUUGAGUACUUAACAUUUCAUUGUUUCUGGGACUUCAGAAAGUCUUAAUGUGUGUUAUCAAGGGAUCUGCUACUAAGUAUCUGCUUCUUUCAAAUGGUAAGCUUGUCUGCUGUUUAUUUUUAGGUAUGAAGCAGAAACUUUCAGUGGUGUCCAGUAUGUUGUGCAGAAGCAUUCAGCCCGCCAUGGAAGCACCAUUGGAACUAGAAGAGCAUUUGGUACACACAAGUGGAUUUUCCUGAAAGCUGUGAUGGCAUAUGAACAGGUUUUAAUAAUGGAAAAGUUGAGCAUUGUGGUGAAAGAUAUUCUGCAACUAUUCUGCAAGAGAUAGAGGGAUGCUUGAAGGUUGCUUCUUGAAGCAGGAAAACGGUCACAACUGUACGAACAAAUGCUUCUAAUUUGUUCAGUGAGUUGGAACGUUUUUGUCAGUGCUGCUUGACAAAUGUGGAUCUGUAACUGGAAGAAAGUGUAACACCUGGAGAGAUGUUCUCGCUUGGAUUGGGACCAUGCUUUUAAAAUCCUGCUGAAACAGUUGUUGAAAUUGUUUAGCAGACACUUAUAAAAAACUGCACGUGAACCAAAAUUACUGUCUCUGCAUAUUUAAAAUAACACUUUUUCCAAAACAUCAAACUGCCCUCUUUGGGAAGGAUAAACGUAGCCGUAGGGAAAUAAGUGGUGAGCUUCCAUAUAUGAAAAAGAAACAAACUAUUGGCUCUUAGGAAAUGUAAAGGUAUGCAGACUUCUUGAUACUGAGCACCUGUAAUUCAAAGCAAUGGAAGUUGCAAGUAGACUGUGCAGCAUUGAUACAUAAAUUCAAACUGCUGAGUGCUUCUUGAAGAUGUCAUGUAGGAGAUGGAAGGAAGUAGAUAAGGUGGUGUGGAAGCAUCAACAUGAACCACUUGUAAAAAGAAACACUUGAAAUUUCAGGUGGUGUGAGGGAAGUUGUGAUUACAGAAAAGCCAUGGACUAAAGCUUUCAUUUUCUUCUACAUCUGGUCGGGGUGAGCAGGAAAGGGGAGUUUUCAUGAGCUGCCAAUUUAGCAUGAAAAGACCAGAAGUGGAACUGUGCCCACCGAAGAAGACAUUGGCAGUGUUAUCUAUUCCCAGCGUGGGAGUAUAAGCAUUGGAACAUUUGCUUGCAGCAGUCACUAACCACACAGUAACAUGUUAACAUUGUAUUUGUUGUAUUAAGCAGAUCAUCUCUUUUCCACCAAGGAAGAAAGGGAUUGUAAAUUGAUUAACUGAGUAAGUUGCCUUUAAAGACAAAUUAUGCACGGAAGAUUCAAUCCACCUUAAGGUGUGGCUCUUGUACUGCAUUCUCAGGAAUGCAUUAUAAAGGAGGGAAUGUGACAACUGCGUGGCAGCCAAUGAUCAGUAGUGCUGUGGUUACUGAAUGAUUUUUGGAAUGUACCAAAAUACAGAAACAAUCCUGUAGUUUGCAGCCAAAAAUGACAGCAUUGAAGGCUAGCAGUUUUCUUCCUUCAGGAAAUCUAAAAGAACUUCAUGAAAUACACUUAUUUCUAAACACCAAAUACUUGGAAGGUCCAUUUUUCUAUCAGUGCACUAUUAUAGUAGUGCAGAACAUGAAGUAGCAGCAUCUGAAGCGUUGGGAAGAUCAGAAAUAAGUUUGACUACAAAAAUGUACAUUAAUGGUGUGACUGAAGUCCAGGAGUGGUUUGGCUUACUGCAUAACCUGCUUCGGUUAUUCAGUAAGUAAUGACCAGCUGCUUUGCCUGGUUGGAGACUGCUUCUCAGUGAGGUAGCUAUGUAAAUUGGUCUAUUGAAUGUAUCAUCAGAAGCUGCAGAAUUUUACUACAAAAAAACAUCCCUUGAUGGCUUUCAUCAGGAUUCAUUAUCUAUUAAUGUUGCUGAGAGGGGUAGGUAUUUCUGUGCUGUGUUUUGUAUGUGCUCUUGAAUAAAGAUGAGGAUGUGGAAAACUUAACUAGCUGUUGAACAUCAGUUCUGUAGUCACUUAAGUUGUUUCCUGACAGCUCAUAUUUUGGAAAGGUUGCAGAGGCAAUGUGGCCUUAUUGUACUGGUGCAGGGCAUGCUGAACAUGUGACAUUCCACACACUGGCUCCUGGACAAUGUAAGCUCCCCUGGUAGUUAUAUACUUCAGAAGUGCAGAGGAAUCAGUCUCCUAUCUUAGGUCCAUUGCAUUUUCAGCUCUUCUCAGUGGUGUGCACACCACUGAACAAGGGGUAAUGGACAAAAAUUGGAACGGGAGGAAGAACUUUACUGCGAAAGAGACAGAGCACUGGAACAGGCUGCCCAGAGAGAUUGUGGAGUCUCCUGGGAUUUAUCAAGAUCUGCCCGUGCAACUUACUGUGGGGAACCUGCUUAAGCAGGGCCAGAUGGGUCUUGAUCAUUCCCCAGAAGUCCCUUUCAACCCCUUCAAUUCUCUGGUUCUUACGUAGUUGACGCUGUUGACAAUGUUUAGUGAAGCUGUUGAGAUGGUGAGUCAAAAGUUGGCAGUCUAAAGACACUCACCGUGUCUUCUGGAGAGGAAGAAGUGUAUUGAAAACCAGAAAAGGAUAAUAGGGCAGCAAUAUUUGGUAAGUAGUAUAUUAGCUAUUCCGAAAGGGUUUUUAUAUAGCUUGUUUAACAGUCCAGGGCAAGCUUUUAUUUGCAGUAUGUUUUGACUGUAACGGUGCCUGUCUGGCUGAAGCUAAUACAAAGCAUCUGAAGCUUUUGAGGAGCUCAUACUAUGUGGGCAUGUAGUGAAACUGGUGAGGAUGAGUUGCUCUUCUAAUUGAUAUCAAAAAGCUAGAGACAGUUUCAGGAUUAUGGAUGAUACGUGAGUACCAAAAGUACUUAAAUCUUGAUCUAAAAUACUGAGGAUGUUCUAAUCUAGGAUUGGCAGUAAUAGAUAAAAGGGGCCAAGAACUGUAUUACAUUUGUGCUUGAGAUGGUGGAAGCCAAUUUUGAGAAGCUAUUCCUCAUGAAAAAAUGUGCCUCACUAAGCCCAGAAAAUGACAUGUGAUAGACAAGUUAACUGCAAAUCUUUAGAUAAUGAAUGCUCACUGGGAUGCAGAAUAUAGGUAACCAAAGAAAAAUGUGUUACAAAAGAUUUGAACAAGUUUUUUAACCAUGAGACUAUCUUAACAGUCUUCAGAAUGAGACUAAUGGUUAUGAUGUUGGAACAUCACACAAAUUGUAAAAUGGUAGGUAUAACAUUUGUGAGCUUGGUCACGGCAGUAGGGGGUACUGUUGCAAACCACUUGUGGAUUUAGAAUUUGUAUGGUUUUUUUUGUGUGUGAUACUUGUAUAUAAUUACAAAGUUGGCAUCUAAUGAAUUUGGAAGGUAUGUUAAAGUUCAGUUGCACAGAAUACCUUGCUGGAUUUAAAGCUUUGAUUUCAGAUGUUGCAGUAAAUAGCAUGAAAACCCUUUUGCAGUUUGUGUUUUAAAUAGUUAUUAAAAUCUUGCACUGUCAUUAGUGUGUAAUUUAUCACAUGGGUAUUGGGCUGUGAUUCCCAAAAUCAGUGGUUAGACAAACUUUGUCCUGGCAUAUUGCUGCAUUGGUCUUAGUAACUGGGCAAGAGGUCAGCAUUCUCCUGAGUUAAGUGAGUGUUGUGUUUAGAUGAGCGUCUUGGAGCUUCAGUGAAGCAGAAGAGUAGCUGUGCAUAAAUGCUUUGCUACCAUUUAAGUGAGAAGUCAUGCUUAAGGCAGGACGUUUUGUCUGGAGAAUUUGUCUUGCUUGUGGAGACAGCAAAUCAUAAACAGUACCAAGUGAGCUACAGUUACUUUUGCAAAGUACCCGUGCUGCAAUGUGAGUUAAGAACAGAAGUGAGCAGAAAAUGUCCUGUCAAGAUAACCAGUCUACAGAGAAGCAUGCUGCCUGCUUUGGUGGCAUUGCUGCCUUCUCUUUCAGCAAACUCUCAAUAGUCCAGACUUGCUAUAUAAAUGUUGGUUAUGAGUUGUACUGACGCGGAUGGACGUUGUAAUUGAAUUAACAGCUGCUAAGUUCCAAAGGUGGAAGCUCAGCAAUGAGUUUUUGAGGAGAGAAGCUCAUUCACUUAAGACAGUUGACCUGUCACAGCAGUUUGAGCAAUGUUAGACUUUGUCCAAGGAAAGACGUUUUUUUUUUAACAUUGGAGAUCAUAUUUAACCCUCAGUUUGGGAUACCAUGUUUUCACCACAGUUGAGGACAAUCUGAGUUGCAAUGAAUUAAUUCAAGUGGAUAUUACAGGUGAGCAGAGUACACAUAGAAGCCUGUAUAUGCUGUGUGUUUGUAUGUGGCCAGUGACUUGCAUUCUGUGUAAUUCUCAUUAGAACCAGUAUUACAAGUAUUUUUGCUUGUCUGUUAUUAACUGUCUUCUUUUCUUAGAGGAUGUAAACUGAAAAACUAAAAUAAUUCUGUUUUCUUUCAAACCUGAUGUGGCUUUUCAGUAGAUGUUGAGUUAGGCUAUCAGAGCUGUGAAAACAGUACUCCUCAGCCAUUGUUUGAAACUUCCUGUAGGCUCUGCAAGACAAAGUAGUAUUUUAUGCUCAAAAGAAUGACUGUAUUGAGUAAGACAAAAUCUGCCUUGCUCAGUAUUCUAUCUGAGGAUGACCAGUGUAAGAAACAGAAGGAUAGAGAUCUUUUCCAGCGGUUUGCUUGGGAAUUUCCUAAGGACACGUUAAUUCCAUUUGAGCAUUACUUGGCAAUUAGGGCUGAUCUCCGUUUAAAAAGAUGUAAAAUGUGAAUGCUAUCUCAGUUGUAAAAUGCAUAAAGUAGUGCAUAUGAUUGCAACAGCAGGGAAAUAGAUGAGAGGAGCUAGGGGAGGACUAAAGGAACAGCCUAUUUGUUUUUCUUUGAAGAUACUUUAAUACUGGUCUUGCUUUCAACUCUUACACUAGUGAAAACUGCAGUAACUGGAGACUGGCUAAGACAGUGUUGCUAGAUCAGCAUUACUGCUGGAACUGCAGUGGAGAUGAAAAUUCAGUCUACUGAUGUGUGUUCUCACCUUCAGUAGCUCUGAGCCAUACUUCAGGCUUGUAAUAAGUCAGUACUAUUUUUACUUAGGAUUGAAGCUCCCUGUAACUGAAGGAACAUUGUCUUGGCAAUGACAGUACUAGUUUAAGGCUUGUAGGUAGAGAAUUAUUAUUACAGGCUGACCUAAAGUAAACCUGAGUUAUUUUGUGUAUGUGAGAAGAAGCUAACAGAUUAAUAGACUCAAAUACUUAGAACUUAUUUUGAAGCUGGUAGGCUGAGUGAAAAGUAAAGAUUGUAUUUUUAGAUCGUCUAAAGGUCACUGGAGAGGAAUAAUACGCAACCACAGUACUUGGUUAAGUUACCAAUUUGAUCUUAUUAACAAGGUUUGGUUUGUGGGAACUGGUGCUCCCCCACCUUCCUGUUCAACAGUACUAACCACACUGUAAGAAGUGGAACAGCAAGAAUAGGAGUUACCUUCAGAACAUCUUAAAAUAGCAUUUUUGUUAGGGCAUCACAUUGCUGAGGAUGUUCCUUCAGAAACUUCAUGAGAAGUAACAGUAUCCAUAUUUUUUUUGAUUAUUCUUGAACUACUCUUAGCAGUUGUCAAAAAUAGUUAAUUUUAGUUUCUGUGCCCUCGAACUUCUGCCAGUUAAGUUGGUGCUGAUCGUAGUUUCUGCUGAUUUGGUUUGCAGGCAAUAUGGCCACUGAAAGGCUCUUUUCUAUGUGAAGGAACCUCUACAAGAAGACAUUUUGGCACCAUUGAUUUCAGAGUCUUGCUGUGUUUUUUGCCUUAAAAAAAGCUGCCAUGAUGAGUAGAAAUAGCAUGACUUCCAUCUAUGAGUUAGUAGUUUUUAAUAUGGAAAAUACUUAAUAAUUCUGGCACUGGUUUUACUUUUAGUUACCUCUGGACACAGCUAUAUGGAGGUUCUUAUGAGCAGUACGUUACUGCUGAGCUGUUGGGUAAGGACUGUUGACUUUGUGAUGCCUUUUACCUGACCAACUUUAAAAGAAAAAAGCCUGUUAGCUUCAGUUUCAAGCUGAGGAAACUUGUCAGUGUCUGGGAUCACUGCUUAUCAUGAGAUUUGAAUCUUCACUUACCCAAAAAGAGAAGAAAAUAGUCUACAAAGAGGUUUUCUUUUUCUCUGAGAUGGCACUCCUGGAAGUGUCUUGGCCUUAAGUUCUGAAAGAAGUGCUGCUUUUCCUGAAGGAUCAGUUUGGAUGUUCCAGUUAACAACUUUACUGCCAAAGUAUGACCAGGAAACAUAAAAAUUUAUUGAUUCUCAAUUAGGAAAGGGCUCUUAAGCUGACAAAAAGUAUAUAUAUAUUUAUUCCUAAUUUAUAGUUCUUUCAGAUAUCACAGUAGAUCUAUUGGAGCUUUGAGUUCUCUCUGUGUGAACUUUAUUACUCUUGGCCAAAAUUAGGACCUUGGUGUCCAAAAUUAUUGUUGUCUUCAGCACUGUUCCUAUCUGAAGAUCCUUUUCCCCUUUUAUCCUAUAUGUCAAUCUGGCCCAUAUUGCUUUUCCCAGAAAUUAUGCAACAAAUGUACUAAGAACCAAGGCAAAAAUAUAAAAUUACAAAAGAUAACUAUAGGCCUUUAAUAUGAGACCAGCAAAGGAAAGAAAAGUCACUAGGAAAUUUUUUUGUCUGUAACUUAUAAUAAUACUCCAACAACUGUUGGGCUGUAAAAGACUAGUUCCUGUAGUGAUUUGACAGCUGUGAUUUGCUCUUCAAGAAGUCAUGAACAGAGCCUACAAGUAAGUUGCUGAUUUGGUAAACUGCGUAUGUAUAAAGAAUGAUGGCCAUUUGGACUUUAGGUUGCUUCAGAUGUAGGAGAGAAACAUUUCCACUUCAGGACUGAUAUUGGGCUCCCCAUAUGUGAAAGUUCCAGGCAAUGAAGUAGCUAGAAAAGGGAAAAGUGAGUUUUCUUUUAAAUAAAAACCUUCUUGGAAUAUAACAAGGCAAAAUAUCAACUGUAAACUUCUGAUUCAGAAAAAUCUCAGUUCUCCACAACUAGGCUCUGAAUUCGGCACUUUUCACCUUGAAUGUUCUGAGGUCUGGCUGGGUGAAGGAGGCACCUCCGUUAUUAGAAAAGCAGAGAUGAUCUGUGAAGAGACUGCUCUAGCAGCAACAAAAUAGUUACCAGGAGAAAAUUGGCAUCUUGCCUGAAAGCAAGCAUUCUGAGCUUCUGCUUGAGCUUCCAUUAGCAAUAUGAUGAGGAGGUUUAAAAAAAUUUCCUCAUCUGUCUGUAUUUCAUAUCAAACUUCUCUCAAAAUUUGGCCAUUAAGAUAAAAUAAUAGUGCGGAAGAUUUUCUGUUUCGGGCCAAACUGCAGAAAAUUAUCCAUGAAAUUAAUUUGCUUUUUGUGGCUGUCUGAGACAGUGUUCCUUUUUGUAUGGAAAAAACCUUUAUAUUAACUGGGGGGGGAGGGGAUGAUAGACUGCUUGC